rnacentral:lncRNA from 1 species
UCACAAGCUGGAAUCAAGAUCAAAACCUCAGAUAUGCAGAUGAUACCACUCUAGUGGCAGACACUGAAGAGGAACUAAAGAGCUGCUUGAUGACGGUGUAAGAGGAGAGUGAAAAAGCUGCCUUAAAAUGCAACAUUCAAAAUACUAAGAUCAUGCCAUCUGGUCCCAUCUCUUCAUGACAAAUAGAUGGGGAAAAGUGGAAGCAGUGACACAUUUUAUUUUCUUUGGCUCCAAAAUCACUGUGACUGCGCUAUGAAAUUAAAGACACUUGCUCCUUGGAAGGAAAGCUAUGACAAACCUAGACAGCAUAUUCAAAAGCAGAAACAUCACUUUACCAACAAAGGUCUAUAGAGUCAAAACUGUGGUUGUUCCAGUAGUCAUGUACAGAUGUGAAAAUUGGACUAUAAAAAAGGCUGAGCACUGAAGAAUUGAUGACUUCAAACUACGGAGCUGGAAAAGAUUCCUGAGAGUCCCCUGGACAGCAAGGAGAUCAAACCAGUCAGUCCUAAAGGAAAUCAACCCUGGAUAUUCAUUGGAAGGACUGAUGCUGAAGCUCCAAUACUUAGGUCACCUGAUGAAAAGAGCUGACUCAUUGGAAAAGACCCUGAUGCUGGGAAAGAUUGAAGGCCAAAGAAGAAGGGAACAGCAGAGGAUGAGAUGGUUGGAAGGCAUCACCAAUUCCAUGGACAUGAAUCUGAGCAAAUUCCAGGAGAUAGUGGAGGACAACAGAGGAGCCACACAACCACAAAGCAGAAGAGCCAGGAGGCCUCCCCUUUCUACCCCAGAGCCAGAGCCAUGACCUCACACAGGGGCCCCUCGCAGAUCCUUAUGACCUUAUGACUCGAGGAACCGAAACUCAAGCCAUCUCCUGGAAGACAGUCAGACUUCUGUUUUCAUGCUUGAAUUUAAAAGCCACAGGAUACUCUGCUGUCAGGGAUUUGUACUUAUAACUCAAGACUCCAGAGGUACAGAUGGGCCUGGACCCUGGUCUGUGAUCCCCUGUCCUUGGAAUUCUUCUUCAUGUUGCAGGUCUGGGUGGGACUUCCUGUCAGGGAAUCCUGUGAUGAACGGCUUCAAUGCUGCUGCUGCUGCUAAGCCACUUCAGUCGUGUCCGACUCUGUUCGACCCCAUAGACGGCAGCUCACCAGGCUCCCCCGUCCCUGGGAUUCCCCAGGCAAGAACACUGGAGUGGGUUGCCAUUUCCUUCUCCAAUGCAUUAAAGUGGAAAUUGAAAGUGAAGUCGCUCAGUCGUGUCUGACUCUUAGCAACCUCAUGGACUGCAGCCCACCAGGCUCCUCCAUCCACGGGAUUUUCCAGGCAACAGUACCAGAGUGGGGUGCCAUUGCCCUCUCCAUAAGCAAAAGUAAAAGAGAAAAACACUCCUCUUGAAAUAUGUGUUACUGAUAUAAUAAAGUAAAUAUUGCAGUGACCA